AUUCCUACUCCACGGUGGCAUAGCUGACCUCCCUGUGUAAUAGUUUCCAGCUGAAAUAUGCCACCGGAUGCUCCAUUCCGUUGUCCCCCAUUUGACUUAGCACAGCUCCCAGCCCAAACAUGGAGGCAUCUGUGUGGAAAAGAAACUUUUUAGUAGGGUCUGAGGCUGCCAACAAAGGUUCCUCGCUCAGCGCAGUUUUGA